rnacentral:rRNA from 1 species
UACGUAGGGUGCAAGCGUUAAUCGGAAUUACUGGGCGUAAAGCGUGCGCAGGCGGUUUGGAAAGAAAGAUGUGAAAUCCCAGGGCUUAACCUUGGAACUGCACUUCUAACUACCGGGCUAGAGUACGUCAGAGGGGGGUAGAAUUCCACGUGUAGCAGUGAAAUGCGUAGAGAUGUGGAGGAAUACCGAUGGCGAAGGCAGCCCCCUGGGAUGAUACUGACGCUCAUGCACGAAAGCGUGGGGAGCAAACAGG